rnacentral:hammerhead_ribozyme from 1 species
AUUCAGCUGACAAGUCUCAAAUAGGACGGAACGCGCGUCCUGGAU